GCCGGCUGGGCUCCCGCCGCCCCGCCGCCGCCCUCCCCGCCCCGCAGUCCCGAAGGCGGGAGGGCGGGGAGCCCCUCCACCUCUGCUGGAGCUGGGGGUGCAGGUGAGUCCCCGUGGACGCAGAACCUUUGCCACAAAAUUAACCGGGGCUCCCCGUCGUUUUCAAGGUGCCCCAGAAAACAGGACGCUGUCAAGUUAGACCCGACCCUUUGCUCUUGUGCGGGAUAAGAAAGCCCAGAACUUGAAAAAACAGAUGUGUCCUGGCAUUUGUUAUGGGCUGAGUUGUGCUUCCCUCAAAUGACUGUGUUUAACUUGAGGGGCUGUAGGGGCUCUAUUUGGACAUAGGGCCUUUAAAGAAGUGAUCAAAUUAAAAUGAAGCUCUAGGGCAGACCUGAUCAUUUGGACUGAUGUCCUUUUAGAAGAGGAAAUUUGGACCCACAAAGAGAGAACCAGGGGUGUCACGCACAGAGGAAGAAAGACCAUGUGAGGACACAGCAAGAAAGCAGCGGUCUGCAAGCCAAGGAGAGAGGCCUCGGAAGAAAUCAAACCUGUUGACAUCUUAAUGUUGGGACUUCUAACCUCCGGAACUGUGAGAGAUAAAUUUCCGUUGUUUAAGCCACUCAGUCUGCAGUGUUUUGUUAUGGCAGCCCUAGAAAACGAAUGCAGCCUUCGAGACAAUUUUUCUACUUUGAGAGUCUCAAGUCCAUGCUGGAAUACAAAACCAAGAAAUUGUCUGCCACAGAACAUCUUCCUCUGAGGGCUGGGCCUAGCCAAAACUUUUACCAUUUUCUAACUGGUGGGGAAAUUUUGAAACAAAGAAAUUUGUUAGUAUUUUAACAUUAUACUAGUAUGGGUAAAAUAUCUAAACAAAGGAUAAUGGAUACAUUCAAGUCAGGCCUUCAUAGCUAAGGUUUGGUAUUCCUAAGGGAUUAUGGGAGACUUAGAUAUUUUUGGAGGCUGGUUGGCAUUUUGGUGAUAAUAGAAGCAAAAAAUAUGUGAGCCCAGUGAAAUGAUUGUUCCUUCCAUGGAUGGCCCUUAUUUUCUUUUUCUAUUUAUGUUUUGAUUCCAAAUUUUCAAAUAUUUAAGUGUGUUAAAAUUUUUUAUUCUCAAGGGCAUCCAAAUAUGCACAUAUUUUAGGAAUGCCUUAUAAACUGUGAUCCAGUCAGUGUGGAGUCCCCCUUGGCUCAGGUGAGGAUCUAUACAUUCUUGGUCUCCAGGGCUCUUGAGCAGCAAGUUUACUUUUUUGACUUAAGUGACUGGAUGCAUCUCACCUGUGUAUUUUCAUCUUUGAUCUUUCUCCGAUUAUGUAUUUCUCAUGCUGUACUAGAGUGUCAUUAAAGGAAUAACAAGUACCCUC